GCAAUUUUGAAAAUUGACGAUUGUUGCACGUUGAUUUCUCUUAAUCAGUGGGCCCAGGGUUCGAGUCCCUGGAGGUGCACCA
rnacentral:tRNA from 1 species